GCUGGGAUUACAGGCAUGAGCCACCGCGCCCGGUCGAUACUUUCUAAAAUGGUAAGACUUUAUUCAGGACAAUUGCAAUUGGUGUCCACAGUGUCACAACAGGGCAGAGAGAUCAGGCUCAACUCCCAAUACAAGAACAAGGCACCAGACAUGGUGGCUGAAACCUGUAAUCCCAGCACUUUGGGAGGCUGAGGCGGGCGGAUCACUUGAGGUCAGGAGUUCAAGACCAGCCUGGCCAACAUGGCAAAACACCGUCUCUACCAAAAAUACAAAAUUAGCCAGGGGUGGUGGCAGGUGCUUGUAGUAGUCCCAGCUACUAGGGAGGCUGAGGCAGAAGAAUCACUUGAACCUAAGAAGUGGAAGUUGCAGUGAGCCAAGAUUGGACCAUUGCACUCCAGCCUAGUCACAGAGUGAGACUCCUUACCAAAAAAAUUAUAAAAUUAAAAUUAAGAAAAAAAAAGAACAAGGGGAUAUUUACAGCAGGUUGAGGGGUUUCACCAGAUGAAGAUGAUUUCAGGGUCGGGCUUCUUGCUAAACUGAUCCAGGUUUCAACAAGGAUUCUUGUUGAAGGUAGGCCAGGGUGAUCUGAUAUCGAGGAUCAAGGGUUCUCAAUAAACUGACAGCAGGAUCCCUGUUGAAACUGAGCUUUGCAGGCCCAGCAAGGACAGGGACCAAGGUUGAGGGCUUGGAGGAGUCUGACUAAAGUUUGGUCAAGGAGAGAGUCUUUGUCAGGGGUUAUGUGGGCUCUUCCUUCAUGUUCCUUUAAAGAGCAUGCCCAUCUUCCGGGACUUCCUCUUUCUGUUUAAGUUACCAUUUACUGUGGCUUCUCACGCUCUUUACGCAGCUGCAAAGGCAGAGCAAGACACACUGCUGGCCCAGAAGGGCUGAUGAUCCGGCAGCCUCAAGCUACGGGUCAGGAGUGAGGAAGUGAGGCUGGCCUUGUGGGUGUGGAGUGGCUCUGAAGCUUCCUGUCUCCACCCAGCCCUCUGCCCCUGCACUAAACCAAAGCCCUGCAGAGCAGAGUCUAGUGACGCUCCUGGGAAGGUGACGCUCCUGGCGGCACAUGGCCUUGAGAGCUUCCACGUAGUUUGCCCUUGGUCUUGUCUCUGAGACGCCUUCUGGUUGCCUCGGUCUCCUCACACCCCCCAGGAUCCAAGUCCAGGCCUACCUGGCUCCCGGGCACUCCCUGUGUGCCUCCCACCUCCUCCUUCCACCGAAGGCAGGCGAGGUCAGCUCUCCCUUCCCUCCUGUCUCUGGAGCCCUCGCUCCAUGCCCAGGCCUGUCCCGUGGACGUGUCAUGCAGCUGCUUGCUUCAUGUUCUUCUAGCUUUCUCCCUGAGCCACAGGCAAUGCUUUUCAAAAGCAGUGAAAAGUUUAGCGGAGUUUUUUUUGUUUUUUUUUUGUCAAGGUAAUAAAAUCUGCAGUGAUAAAAAUAGCUAUUAGAAGUUUAGGAAAAUUUCAUCUUGGAGUAGAAGAAUGAGGAUGGACUAGGCUAAAUAGUGUCCUAACAAAUACCUGUCCACCCAGAACCUCAGAAUGUGAACUUAUUUGGAAAUAGGCUCUUUGUGUAUGCCAUUCUCAUAGAUGAAGUCCUCCUGGAUUUAGGGUGGGUCCUAAAUCCAGUGACUGGUGUCCUUAUAAGAAGACCACAUGAAGCCGCAGGGAGGCACGGAGAGGAUACCAUGUGACCACGGAGACAGAGACUGGAGUGCAGCAUCUAGGAACCAAAGACAGCCAAGGAAUCCUGGCACUGCCAGAAGCCAGGAGAGAGCCGGAACAUUCUCCCAGAGCUUUUGGAAGGAACCUAGCCUGCCCACACCUUGAUUUUGGACUUCUGGCCUUCAGAACUCCAGGAGAAGAGCUUCUGUUGUUUGAAGACACCCAGUUUGCGGUCAUUUGUUAAAGCAGCCCCCGGACACUAAGCCACAGUGUAGCCAUAUGCUUGGGCUGGGUCCCAGGGCAGCACUGACUCCUCACUUUACCUUGUGUCACAGCAAAGCCCACAGCCAGGGAGAGGGGGUCAAACUGCAGCAGCUCUCACUUCUGAGCAUCAUAACGAAAGCCAAAGACAGCGCCAUUUACCUAAAUCGGACAGCCUACAGAAUCUUCCAGUCUGAAAUAAGAAAUGUCAAGCGUUUUAGCCAUGGGAAUUAUAGGGUAGGGGAGAUCCUUCCCCUUAACUAGUCAGUGGUUGAAAUUUCUUUUGCAGCAGAAAAUUUAAGUGGUAGCUUGACUGUUUAAUGUUUGCAACAUUAGAAUGCCCUAGUCUCCACUUACUGAUUUAAAGAGCAACAGAAAUCCUUACAGGAAGAGCAGUAGGAUGGCUGAUUCCUGAAAGCGGCUUCCUGACACCCUCGCCCCAGCACCCCUGGGUCCAGUCACCAUUCAGAUACAUCUUUUGAUGGGUUGCAAGGAAAAGAACAGUGUCAGGGGACAAGGCCUGUUUACCUACAACUAACUGAAGCCCUUUGAUGAGCUCUCCUCCCAUCUCCAAUCUGCCCCCAACCGCUGGCCGUUCCUAACCCAUCUCUUUGCAAAUAAAAGUUAUCACCAUCAGAUCUGGGUGUGCCAUUCUUCCAGUUGUGUGCACAAGAGGGUGGGAGUUCAGGGGGUUGGAAUUCUUCUUUUCAAAAACCUGUUAAGUUUUUCUGAAACAGCAGCCUUCCCGAAGCUUCUGCUUAGUGCCUGUUCAUCUAUUGAGAGCUGAUAAUAGGAUGUAUUUUGCUUUUUUUUCUUUAAAUGGAUAAAAGGAUAAUGCUUUUUCUUUUCUUUCUUUUUUUUUUUUUCUUUUCUUGGCCUCCAGUGUCUAUGCAAGUUAUUUUUCAGUCCAUUAAAAUGAAUCAUUGUUUAUCAUGUUAGUUUUCACAUUUCACAAAAUGAUGAACAAUGGACUUUUCUUUGUUAAAAGAUGGGGGCUUCUGUCCUCGGGCACUCGUGUUCAGAAGAUAAGACUUUCUCCGAGUUCCACACACUUCUUUCUUUUCACACAUGCGUUACGUUUAUUUUCUGACUGAAGUCUCCAAAACAAACGCUAUGGCUGCUGCUGAAAUAGAUCACAUGUUACUACGGUACAAGUGAGACCAAUCACAGUGGCUGCUUUUGUUUUUAAUUGCGACCACCUCGGAUGGGUCCUGAGUGCUGAGCCAAAGCUCUGUUUUCCUUUCUUUCUUUUUUUUUUUUUUUAAUCUUUUCAAAAUUCCUUUGAGGCAGGUAGGGGUAAACCCUCAACUCACUGUGGAAAUUCAUGUUGUUGAAGAGGAUUAAUAGAGAAGGGGUGGGAAAAGGAAAGUCUCAGGGGUGUUUUUGUGCCUCAUUAAAAGGUCACAAAGCCCUCUGUGUUCUCUCCCUCCAAGGGUCUAAACCUGAGUGUCUUUUAUCCGCUUCAUCAAGCUCUGCACGUCCAAUCGAGCUGCGAGGGAGCUCCAUGGAGCUCCUGAGCACUUGAAAUGGGGCUAGUGGGAAUUGAGGAGUUCUGUAAGUAGAAAUAGGUUUAGUACAAAUAAAUAAACUGAUUAAAAAUGUCAUCAAUAAUAUUUUAAAAUUGAUGAUAACUUGACAUGCAACAUAUUUGUGUACUUUCUUGUUGAUUGAUUACUUGACUUGCCCUUCUGGGACCCAGACUGCUAGAAAACAUGUCUCCCUAAGUACCGCCAGGAAUGCUAAUCCCAUGACAUUCCACAGGAAACAAAAGGCGCUGAGGUCAAACUGAGAAAAACCGCAGCAGAGUUCCACUGGGGAUUUGAAAAGACCUGAGCGUAGAAAAGGCUCCCGAGCUCUGCAAUAAAGACAGGCAUCUAACUUUGUUAAUAUGUUAAUAUGGCUUUUCAGAAAUCCAUGACCACAGGACUCCUGCCCCCUCUGACUUUUUUAAUGCUGGCCUACUACCAAUUAACCUCUCAAGAAACUGCCAUUCAGGAUUUGAAUAGUAGCAAUGGAAAGAGAAAAAUGGGGCAAAGCUUUGGACCCACAGUCCAAAGGGAAGGACUCUUUUUAAUCCAAUGGGUUAUAGCAAGAGCAUGUUGCGGACUCAUAUCUGGGAACUGCAACAUCAUCAUUUUUUUUUUUUUUUUUUGAGACAGAGUCUUGCUCUGUGGCCCAGGCUGGAGUGUAGUGGUGCGAUCCCGGCUCACUGCAACCUCCGUCUCCUGGUUCAAGCGAUUCUCCUGUCUCAGCCUCUCAAGUAGC
rnacentral:lncRNA from 10 species